rnacentral:rRNA from 1 species
UGAGGAAUAUUGGUCAAUGGUCGGGAGACUGAACCAGCCAAGCCGCGUGAGGGAUGAAGGUACAGAGUAUCGUAAACCUCUUUUGUCAGGGAACAAAAGGCGCCACGUGUGGCGCUCCGAGUGUACCUGAAGAAAAAGCAUCGGCUAACUCCGUGCCAGCAGCCGCGGUAAUACGGAGGAUGCGAGCGUUAUCCGGAUUUAUUGGGUUUAAAGGGUGCGUAGGCGGCGAGUUAAGUCAGCGGUAAAGGCCCGGGGCUCAACCCCGGCCCGCCGUUGAAACUGGCUUGCUUGAGUUGGAGAGAAGUAGGCGGAAUGCGCGGUGUAGCGGUGAAAUGCUUAGAUAUCGCGCAGAACUCCCAUUGCGAAGGCAGCCUACCGGCUCCACACUGACGCUGAGGCACGAAAGCGUGGGUAUCGAACAGGAUUAGAUACCC